CAGCAGCCGCGGUAAUACGUAGGACACGAACGUUAUCCGGAGUUACUGGGCGUAAAGCGCGCGCAGGCGGUUAGUCAAGUUACCUAUGAAAGAUACCGGCUAAACUGGUAUAUGUUAGGUGAAACUGGUUGACUAGAGAGAAAUAGAGGGAAGUAGAAUUCCGGGUGUAGUGGUGAAAUGCGUAGAUAUCCGGAGGAAUACCGGUGGCGAAGGCGGCUUCCUGGAUUUCCACUGACGCUGAGGCGCGAAAGCGUGGGUAGCGAACGGGAUUAGAAACCCCGGUAGUCCACGCCGUAAACGAUGUACAUUAGGUGUUCGGCAACGAUGGUUGUUGAGUGUCGCAGCAAACGCGAUAAAUGUACCGCCUGGGGAGUACGGUCGCAAGGCUAAAACUCAAAGGAAUUGACGGGGGCCCGCACAAGCAGCGGAGCGUGUGGUUUAAUUCGAGGCUACGCGAAGAACCUUACCUGGGAGUGACAUGUUGGUAGUACGGAAGCGAAAGCGGAAGGACCCUUCGGGGAGCCAGCACAGGUGCUGCAUGGUUGUCGUCAGCUCGUGCCGUGAGGUGUUCGGUUAAGUCCGCAAACGAGCGCAACCCUCGGUGCUAGUUAUACGUGUCUAGCAUGACUGCCCGUGACAAACGGGAGGAAGGUGGGGAUGACGUCAAAUCAGCAUGGCCUUAAUAUCCAGGGCGACACACACGCUACAAUGGUCGGUACAAUGGGUAGCGAAGUAGCGAUACGGAGCCAAUCCUUCAAAGCCGAUCUCAGUUCGGAUUGCAGGCUGCAACUCGCCUGCAUGAAGUCGGAGUUGCUAGUAACCGCGAAUCAGCACGUUGCGGUGAAUACGUUCCCGGGCCUUGUACACACCGCCCGU
rnacentral:rRNA from 1 species